rnacentral:rRNA from 1 species
GACGAACGCUGGCGGCGUGCCUAAUACAUGCAAGUCGGACGCACAGUUUAUACCGUAGCUUGCUACACCAUAAACUGUGAGUUGCGAACGGGUGAGUAACGCGUAGGUAACCUGCCUGGUAGCGGGGGAUAACUAUUGGAAACGAUAGCUAAUACCGCAUAAUAUUGAUUAUUGCAUGAUAAUUGAUUGAAAGAUGCUAUUGCAUCACUACCAGAUGGACCUGCGUUGUAUUAGCUAGUAGGUGAGGUAACGGCUCACCUAGGCGACGAUACAUAGCCGACCUGAGAGGGUGAUCGGCCACACUGGGACUGAGACACGGCCCAGACUCCUACGGGAGGCAGCAGUAGGGAAUCUUCGGCAAUGGACGAAAGUCUGACCGAGCAACGCCGCGUGAGUGAAGAAGGGUUUCGGAUCGUAAAGCUCUGUUGUAAGAGAAGAACGGGUGUGAGAGUGGAAAGUUCACACUGUGACGGUAGCUUACCAGAAAGGGACGGCUAACUACGUG